GCCCAAGUGGUGGAAUUGGUAGACGCACUGGACUCAAAAUCCAGCGCCCGCAAGGGCUUGUCGGUUCGAGUCCGACCUUGGGCACCA
rnacentral:tRNA from 1 species